rnacentral:rRNA from 1 species
UCCGGUAGGGGAUCCUGCGGAGGGAUCAUUACACAACAAAAAUAUGAGGGUGUGGUUUGCUGGCAACAGCGUCCGCCCCAAGUAUUUUUCACCCAUGUCUUUUGCGCACUUUUUGUUUCCUGGGCGAGUUCGCUCGCCACCAGGACCCAACCAUAAACCUUUUUUUAUGCAGUUGCAAUCAGCGUCAGUAUAAUAAUUCAAUUUAUUAAAACUUUCAACAACGGAUCUCUUGGUUCUGGCAUCGAUGAAGAACGCAGCGAAAUGCGAUACGUAGUGUGAAUUGCAGAAUUCAGUGAAUCAUCGAAUCUUUGAACGCACAUUGCGCCCUUUGGUAUUCCAAAGGGCAUGCCUGUUCGAGCGUCAUUUGUACCCUCAAGCUUUGCUUGGUGUUGGGCGUCUUUUUGUCUCUCCCCUUGUUGGGGGAGACUCGCCUUAAAACGAUUGGCAGCCGACCUACUGGUUUUCGGAGCGCAGCACAAAUUUGCGCCUUCCAAUCCACGGGGCGGCAUCCAGCAAGCCUUUGUUUUCUAUAACAAAUCCACAUUUUGACCUCGGAUCAGGUAGGGAUACCCGCUGAACUUAAGCAUAUCAAACG